rnacentral:rRNA from 1 species
UGUGAGCUCGAUGAGUAGGGCGGGACACGUGGUAUCCUGUCUGAAUAUGGGGGGACCAUCCUCCAAGGCUAAAUACUCCUGACUGACCGAUAGUGAACCAGUACCGUGAGGGAAAGGCGAAAAGAACCCCGGCGAGGGGAGUGAAAAAGAACCUGAAACCGUGUACGUACAAGCAGUGGGAGCCUCUUAAUGGGGUGACUGCGUACCUUUUGUAUAAUGGGUCAGCGACUUAUAUUCUGUAGCAAGGUUAACCGAAUAGGGGAGCCGAAGGGAAACCGAGUCUUAACUGGGCGUUAAGUUGCAGGGUAUAGACCCGAAACCCGGUGAUCUAGCCAUGGGCAGGUUGAAGGUUGGGUAACACUAACUGGAGGACCGAACCGACUAAUGUUGAAAAAUUAGCGGAUGACUUGUGGCUGGGGGUGAAAGGCCAAUCAAACCGGGAGAUAGCUGGUUCUCCCCGAAAGCUAUUUAGGUAGCGCCUCGUGAAUUCAUCUCCGGGGGUAGAGCACUGUUUCGGCAAGGGGGUCAUCCCGACUUACCAACCCGAUGCAAACUGCGAAUACCGGAGAAUGUUAUCACGGGAGACACACGGCGGGUGCUAACGUCCGUCGUGAAGAGGGAAACAACCCAGACCGCCAGCUAAGGUCCCAAAGUCAUGGUUAAGUGGGAAACGAUGUGGGAAGGCCCAGACAGCCAGGAUGUUGGCUUAGAAGCAGCCAUCAUUUAAAGAAAGCGUAAUAGCUCACUGGUCGAGUCGGCCUGCGCGGAAGAUGUAACGGGGCUAAACCAUGCACCGAAGCUGCGGCAGCGACACUAUGUGUUGUUGGGUAGGGGAGCGUUCUGUAAGCCUGUGAAGGUGUACUGUGAGGUAUGCUGGAGGUAUCAGAAGUGCGAAUGCUGACAUAAGUAACGAUAAAGCGGGUGAAAAGCCCGCUCGCCGGAAGACCAAGGGUUCCUGUCCAACGUUAAUCGGGGCAGGGUGAGUCGACCCCUAAGGCGAGGCCGAAAGGCGUAGUCGAUGGGAAACAGGUUAAUAUUCCUGUACUUGGUGUUACUGCGAAGGGGGGACGGAGAAGGCUAUGUUGGCCGGGCGACGGUUGUCCCGGUUUAAGCGUGUAGGCUGGUUUUCCAGGCAAAUCCGGAAAAUCAAGGCUGAGGCGUGAUGACGAGGCACUACGGUGCUGAAGCAACAAAUGCCCUGCUUCCAGGAAAAGCCUCUAAGCAUCAGGUAACAUCAAAUCGUACCCCAAACCGACACAGGUGGUCAGGUAGAGAAUACCAAGGCGCUUGAGAGAACUCGGGUGAAGGAACUAGGCAAAAUGGUGCCGUAACUUCGGGAGAAGGCACGCUGAUAUGUAGGUGAAGCGACUUGCUCGUGGAGCUGAAAUCAGUCGAAGAUACCAGCUGGCUGCAACUGUUUAUUAAAAACACAGCACUGUGCAAACACGAAAGUGGACGUAUACGGUGUGACGCCUGCCCGGUGCCGGAAGGUUAAUUGAUGGGGUUAGCGGUAACGCGAAGCUCUUGAUCGAAGCCCCGGUAAACGGCGGCCGUAACUAUAACGGUCCUAAGGUAGCGAAAUUCCUUGUCGGGUAAGUUCCGACCUGCACGAAUGGCGUAAUGAUGGCCAGGCUGUCUCCACCCGAGACUCAGUGAAAUUGAACUCGCUGUGAAGAUGCAGUGUACCCGCGGCAAGACGGAAAGACCCCGUGAACCUUUACUAUAGCUUGACACUGAACAUUGAGCCUUGAUGUGUAGGAUAGGUGGGAGGCUUUGAAGUGUGGACGCCAGUCUGCAUGGAGCCGGCCUUGAAAUACCACCCUUUAAUGUUUGAUGUUCUAACGUUGGCCCCUGAUCGGGGUUGCGGACAGUGUCUGGUGGGUAGUUUGACUGGGGCGGUCUCCUCCUAAAGAGUAACGGAGGAGCACGAAGGUUGGCUAAUCCUGGUCGGACAUCAGGAGGUUAGUGCAAUGGCAUAAGCCAGCUUGACUGCGAGCGUGACGGCGCGAGCAGGUGCGAAAGCAGGUCAUAGUGAUCCGGUGGUUCUGAAUGGAAGGGCCAUCGCUCAACGGAUAAAAGGUACUCCGGGGAUAACAGGCUGAUACCGCCCAAGAGUUCAUAUCGACGGCGGUGUUUGGCACCUCGAUGUCGGCUCAUCACAUCCUGGGGCUGAAGUAGGUCCCAAGGGUAUGGCUGUUCGCCAUUUAAAGUGGUACGCGAGCUGGGUUUAGAACGUCGUGAGACAGUUCGGUCCCUAUCUGCCGUGGGCGCUGGAGAACUGAGGGGGGCUGCUCCUAGUACGAGAGGACCGGAGUGGACGCAUCACUGGUGUUCGGGUUGUCAUGCCAAUGGCACUGCCCGGUAGCUAAAUGCGGAAGAGAUAAGUGCUGAAAGCAUCUAAGCACGAAACUUGCCCCGAGAUGAGUUCUCCCUGACUCCUUGA